UACAGAGGGCCCAAGCGUUGUUCGGAUUCAUUGGGCGUAAAGGGUGCGUAGGCGGCGCGGUAAGUCGGGUGUGAAAUCUCGGGGCUUAACUCCGAAACUGCAUUCGAUACUGCCGUGCUUGAGGACUGGAGAGGAGACUGGAAUUUACGGUGUAGCGGUGAAAUGCGUAGAUAUCGUAAGGAAGACCAGUGGCGAAGGCGGGUCUCUGGACAGUUCCUGACGCUGAGGCACGAAGGCCAGGGGAGCAAACGGG
rnacentral:rRNA from 1 species